rnacentral:lncRNA from 1 species
UCGCAUGAUCGAAUAUCAAUUUCUGUCGACUUUCUUCUAUUUUUCCGGUGGGUAGCUAGGUUACUCUUACUUUUGGUACUCCUUUUCAUUUUUGGCAUUUGACUGAGUUUCGGUUGCGUGGUCUUCAAACUUCGAUUGUGUGAAGCUUAAACUUAGGUCGCACAAAGUUUAAGUUCGGUCGCCUCUUCACUGAUUUUUCAAAAGACUGCUUUGCUUGAUUGACUUUAGUUUAAUACCAAUAUUUCCAAUCUUUUUAUAUUUUUAAAUAUAUCAUUUUUGAUUUGCAUAGAGUUUCAAAAACAACUAUUUGAAUCAUGGUUAUUUUUCAAUAUAGCCUAUGAAUUUACAGUAAACCUUAUUUAAUCAUCAAAAAAUAAAAUUACUUUAUUUCAACAAUAUAAACGAUUUAAAUUAUCAAAAUAAACUCAAAAUAGGGAGUCCUGCCUUUUAUGUAGUCUGGUAAGGGUGUGCAUGGGUCGGGGUGGGUCGGUUCUGUAGCAGACCCAGACCCGACCCGAUCUUGAUCGGUUCUCUAUUUUUGGACUCAGAAUCGAUCCGAUCGUCCAAAAGAACUGAACCAACCCAACCCGAGUGAGAUCGCUCAGUUCGAUUUGUUUCAAUUUGGUUCUCGGGUCUAUAUCUAUCUAGUCAGGUUGGGUCUGUCAGUUUAUUUAAAUUUUUUAAAAAAAAUAAUAUAACACUAAAAAAAUAAAAUAUAACCUUUACACAACAACACAUUGUUUAAAAUAGGGUAAAUUACACUGACCUCCCCUGAGUUUUCAGGUUAAUAUACAAAGCACCCCUGACGUUUGAAAAAUUACAAUGACCUCCCCUGAGGUUUCGAUUUAUGUUACUGACCACCCCUGUCAGAUUUUGUCCCCCACUAUUGCUUGUAAAAUUACUAAUUUACCCUCACACUUAUUGGACAAUUUCUCACUCUCUCCUCUCUCAUCUCUCUCUCAUCUCUCUUUCUUCUCUCUUUCGUUUUUUUUUAGUUUUUUUUAUUAGGUUGUUUUAAUUAAUUUUUUAAUUUUUUCUUAAAUUUAUAGUUUUGUUUUUGGAUAUAAACAAGUUUUUUUUAAAAAAAGACAAAAUUUUUUGAAAAAAAAUAUUUUUUUUACCAAAUAUUUUAAGCGAAAAAAAAAUAUUAAAAAAAAUAAUGGUAAAAUAUAUAUUUUAUGAGAUAUUUUCGAAAAAAUAUAACAAUUUUCUUUUAUAAAAAUAAAGUUAUUUUUUUAAAAAUAAAAUUUUUUUUAAAAAUAAUAUUUGUACAAAUUAUUUUCAGAAAUUAAAUAAAAAAACUUAAUAUUUGUCAGUAUUAUCUCGUUUAGAGAAAAUCAAAAACAGUUUAAAUUUUAGUCAAAAUAGUUUAAAAAAAAUUCAUAAUAUUAAAAAUUAUUAUUAAUAUUAGUAAAAAAAAUAAAUAAAUACUAUUAAUAGAAAAAAUUAUUAUAUUUUCUGAAAACUAUUUUCACUAUUCUUUUUUAAUAUUUUUUUUUAUUAAAUGUUUUUUAAAAAAAUAUUUUUUCAGAAAAACGGUUAAUUUUUUUAAAAAAAGGCUUGUUUAUCUAAAAGUAAAUAAAACUGAUAAAAAAAAAUUAUUUAAUAAAAAAAUAAAAAAAAAAAUAAAAAAAAAAAUAAAAAAAAAAAUAAAAAAAAAAAUAAAAAAAAAAAAGGAAAGAGAGAGAGAAGAGAGAGAGGAGAGAGAGUAAUUGUCCAAUAGUGUGAGAGCAAAUUAGUAAUUUUACAAGAAUAGUGGGGGAUAAAAUCUGACAGGGGUGGUCAGUGACAUAAAUCGAAACCUCAGGGGAGGUCAUUGUAAUUUUUUAAACGUCAAGGGUACUUUGUGUAUUAACUUGAAAACUCAGGGGAAGUCAAUGUAAUUUACCCUUUAAAAUAAUACAAAUUAACAUCCAAUAUGCAAAAAUCUCCAAUGAGUACACUAUAUAAUUAUAUGAUCGGGUCUAGACUUUGAUUCUUCAGUUGGAUCGGGUCGAAUCUUGGCCCAAAAAUAGUAUAGAUCCGAGAACAGUAAUCGUAAUCUACGGGUUUAUAAUUUUCAAUCAGAAUCAAACUAUGAGUAUGGUAGAACCGAACCAACUUGACCAAGUUGGUUUAAUUAUCGGAUUUAUCGGGUCUUUUGUGUACCCUAUAGUCUGGCGAUUGGCUGUUCUGAUUGUUUGACCGGUUAUUUGGAUUGUUCUUUGUUGGAGAGUCAUUAGUCAUCAAUCAAUCAAUCACUCGAUCGGAUCAAAUCAAUCAAUCACGAACUAUCUCAUGAGCAUGUUCUGAGUCCUAUCGGAUUUUGUGAACUUCUGGUUCCAAAUUCAAUGUACUGGAAAGUGUGAACGGGUCGGGUUUUAAUAACGGGUCGGGUUCAAAGUGAAUCAUUUACCAAAUACCUUGAAAAGAAAUUAUUACAACCAUCAGACAUUACGUUGUCGUUAACACCACAUGAUGUUACUGUUUAAUAAUCUCUGCGUUCCAAAUUCAAGUUCUG